AAGAAUAACAAUAUAAAUGUUUUUCUUAAUGUAACUUUUUGAAAAUUACCAAAGACUUUCCUGCAAAAAGUGUUGGACAAUUUAAUGAUAGUGGCCAUAUUGAAAAAGGCAACCAAAAAAAGAAAACUAUUGCUGGGGCAACAAGC